rnacentral:rRNA from 1 species
AUUGAACGCUGGCGGCAUGCUUUACACAUGCGAGUCGAACGGUAACAGGCCGCAAGGUGCUGACGAGUGGCGCACGGGUGAGUAAUGCAUCGGAACGUGCCCAGUCGUGGGGGAUAACUACUCGAAAGAGUAGCCAAUACCGCAUACGAUCUAUGGAUGAAAGCGGGGGACCGUAAGGCCUCGCGCGAUUGGAGCGGCCGAUGUCAGAUUAGGUAGUUGGUGGGGUAAAGGCUCACCAAGCCAACGAUCUGUAGCUGGUCUGAGAGGACGACCAGCCACACUGGGACUGAGACACGGCCCAGACUCCUACGGGAGGCAGCAGUGGGGAAUUUUGGACAAUGGGCGCAAGCCUGAUCCAGCAAUGCCGCGUGCAGGAAGAAGGCCUUCGGGUUGUAAACUGCUUUUGUACGGAACGAAACGGCUCUGGUUAAUACCCGGGGCUAAUGACGGUACCGUAAGAAUAAGCACCGGCUAACUACGUG